rnacentral:rRNA from 1 species
CAGUAGCCGCGGUAAUACGUAGGUCCCGAGCGUUGUCCGGAUUUAUUGGGCGUAAAGCGAGCGCAGGCGGUUAGAUAAGUCUGAAGUUAAAGGCUGUGGCUUAACCAUAGUACGCUUUGGAAACUGUUUAACUUGAGUGCAAGAGGGGAGAGUGGAAUUCCAUGUGUAGCGGUGAAAUGCGUAGAUAUAUGGAGGAACACCGGUGGCGAAAGCGGCUCUCUGGUCUGUCACUGACGCUGAGGCUCGAAAGCGUGGGUAGCGAACAGGAUUAGAUACCCCCGUAGUCCCUGUCUCUUAUACA